UACGGGGGGGGGCAAGCGUUGUUCGGAAUUACUGGGCGUAAAGGGCUCGUAGGCGGCCAACUAAGUCGGAUGUGAAAUCCCCAGGCUUAACCUGGGAACUGCAUCCGAUACUGGAUGGCUUGAAUCCGGGAGAGGGAUGCAGAAUUCCAGGUGUAGCGGUGAAAUGCGUAGAUAUCGUGGAGGAAUACCGGUGGCGAAGGCGGCAUCCUGGACCGGCAUUGACGCUGAGUGAGCGAAAGCCAGGGGAGCAACGGG
rnacentral:rRNA from 1 species